AGAGUUUGAUCCUGGCUCAGGGUGAACGCUGGCGGCGUGCUUAAGACAUGCAAGUCGAACGGACUUCCUUCGGGGAGUCAGUGGCGCACGGGUGAGUAACACGUAACUGACCUGCCCCAAAGUUGCGAAUAACCCUCCGAAAGGAGGGCUAAGACGCAAUGUGCUGUCCCCUCGUGUGGGGCCAGUAAAGGCUGUGACCGCUUUGGGAUGGGGUUGCGUUCCAUCAGCUUGUUGGUGAGGUAAAGGCUCACCAAGGCGACGACGGAUAGCCGGCCUGAGAGGGUGGCCGGCCACAGGGGCACUGAGACACGGGUCCCACUCCUACGGGAGGCAGCAGUUAGGAAUCUUCCACAAUGGGGGCAACCCUGAUGGAGCGACGCCGCGUGAGGGAUGAAGGUUUUCGGAUCGUAAACCUCUGAAUCAGAGACGAAAGGCCCCGACAAGGGGAGAUGACGGUAUCUGAGUAAUAGCACCGGCUAACUCCGUGCCAGCAGCCGCGGUAAUACGGAGGGUGCAAGCGUUACCCGGAAUCACUGGGCGUAAAGGGCGUGUAGGCGGGACGUUAAGUCUGGUUUUAAAGACCGUGGCUCAACCACGGGAGUGGACUGGAUACUGGCGCUCUAGACCUCUGGAGAGAGAACUGGAAUUCCUGGUGUAGCGGUGGAAUGCGUAGAUACCAGGAGGAACACCGGUGGCGAAGGCGGGUCUCUGGGCAACAACUGACGCUGAGGAGCGAAAGCGUGGGGAGCGAACAGGAUUAGAUACCCCCGUAGUCC
rnacentral:rRNA from 1 species